AUUGAACGCUGGCGGCAGGCCUAACACAUGCAAGUCGAGCGGAUGAAGGGAGCUUGCUCCUGGAUUCAGCGGCGGACGGGUGAGUAAUGCCUAGGAAUCUGCCUGGUAUUGGGGGAUAACGUCCGGAAACGGGCGCUAAUACCGCAUACGUCCUGAGGGAGAAAGGGGGGGAUCUUCGGACCUCACGCUAUCAGAUGAGCCUAGGUCGGAUUAGCUAGUUGGUGGGGUAAAGGCCUACCAAGGCGACGAUCCGUAACUGGUCUGAGAGGAUGAUCAGUCACACUGGAACUGAGACACGGUCCAGACUCCUACGGGAGGCAGCAGUGGGGAAUAUUGGACAAUGGGCGAAAGCCUGAUCCAGCCAUGCCGCGUGUGUGAAGAAGGUCUUCGGAUUGUAAAGCACUUUAAGUUGGGAGGAAGGGCAGUAAGUUAAUACCUUGCUGUUUUGACGUUACCAACAGAAUAAGCACCGGCUAACUUCGUG
rnacentral:rRNA from 1 species